rnacentral:rRNA from 1 species
GACGAACGCUGGCGGCGUGCCUAAUACAUGCAAGUCGAACGCAGUUGGGACGGGUGAGUAACAUGUGGGUAACCUCCCAUCAGAGGGGAUAACACUUGGAAACAGGUGCUAAACCGAUAUUGAUGGUUGGACCCGCGGUGCCUUAGCUAGUUGGUGAGGUAAAGGCGCACCAAGGCAACGAUGCAUAGCCGACCUGAGAGGGUGAUCGGCCACACUGGGACUGAGACACGGCGCAGACUCCUACGGGAGGCAGCAGUAGGUAAUCUUCGGCAAUGGACGAAAGUCUGACCAAGAAAGGCCGCGUGAGUGAAGAAGGUUUUCGGAUCGUAAAUCUCUUUAGUUUGGGAAGCGGUAUCAACACAAAAAGCCACGGCUAACUACGUGCCAGCAGCCGCGGGAAUAC